rnacentral:lncRNA from 1 species
AGCUGGACACAGCAACUCAUUCAAAGGAAUAUGUCUGUCACUUAGGGUUCAUUUUUUGCUUUUCUACCCACUCAGGUACUCGAAGUACUUACACAUUGGGCCACUGAUCUUACAGUUGGACAACCUCUCUACCACCUGAGCCACAGCCACCCAACCACCCAUCUGCAGCUGCAGAAUUUUUGCUGCCUUUGGUACUCGAAGUACUUACACAUUGGGCCACUGAUCUUACGGUUGGACAACCUCUCUACCACCUGAGCCACAGCCACCCAACCACCCAUCUGCAGCUGCAGAAUUUUUGCUGCCUUUGGUACUCAAAGUACUUACACAUUGGGCCACUGAUCUUACGGUUGGACAACCUCUCUACCACCUGAGCCACAGCCACCCAACCACCCACCUGCAGCUGCAGAGUUUUUGCUGCCGUUGGUAACUACAGUACCCCCAGAAACAAAUAUUUUCAAAAUAUUUGGAAGUAUUUUUUACAUGUUUUUAAUAGAAUGAUUUAACUUUUGCACAUGCUUGGAUAUGUUAGAUAAGAACCUUGUACAAGGUAAGUCGUCUUAUUCUUUAACACAAUGCAGUAACCACUCUGAUCAUAUCCCCUUCCUCUUUACUCCACAAGGAAGCAAAGAACAGUC